rnacentral:misc_RNA from 1 species
UCUGGGAAGAUUAAGGGAUUCCUGAGUUGAAGGUGACAAAUAUAGAAAUUAGAGAUUAUUGAAACUUGAAAACCAGUGUUGUAUCAUGCUAGCCACUAACCACUUGUAAUUCUAUCAUGUUCAUUGUUCAAACAAAUACAAGGAUAUAAGACCAUGCGUAUAGUAUCAGAAUAAGUCUAUCAUUCUACAACAAAGGCACUAGAUGAGCCAGUGAAAUGGCGAAUGGUACCCAGGAAGCUCUUUGCAGCACCAAAAUGUCUUAUUCUAUAGACACCAGGUGUGGCAGACUGAGGGAUCCUCCAUUCCAUGGUUGCCUGACUACGUGCACUUAGUUUUGAAGGUCUUGACCACUUAAAGCGAAGACAGAAAUCGUCAUCAUCAUAAGCUGGAACCCAACUAUCUUUUCCUUCAAGGAUCUCCACAAGGGCAAAUGUACCUUCAGUCAUGAGGUCAUUUCUGGGGCAUGCUGACCAGAAGACAACUGUUACCGUGUCACCUCUCUUGAAUGUAGAAUUCUUGGGAACAUCAGAGCUGCAAUCACCAAAAUUUACACCAGGAGGUGUUGCAUCCAUUACAACUGGUGUAAGCAAGCUUAUUUGCUUAUUCAGGAGAUCAGGUGGUUGCGGACCAGGCUCCACAGUCUGUCCACUGACAAGGGCGCUUGCGAGCUUCUCGAACUCCUGAAUGUAUGCGCUGAGCGUUUGUGGACCAAAUAAAGUGGAGGCGCCCUAAGAAUGAUUUCACUUUCUGAGAAUAAUGAACCAUGCUAACAACUAACAUGUCAAAUAAGCCCUAAAACAAAAGUUGUGACUGCUAAUUUAAGGCUCACACAAUUAUUGCAAUGCUGCUUAAAAUCAUGCAGUACCAAUCUUAAGGGACUCACUUGACAGCAUCAAAGAACUUCCAUUAUAGAACCAGCUGGUAAGCUACUUUGGUUAUUGGGACAGUUUCCCAAGGGUGUAAAGCAACCUAAUCUACCAUAAUUUUACAAAUGUUGAAAUAGGUUCUAAUAUAACAAUAUUUGAGGAAUUUUUCAAUCACUAGUUUUGAAUAUAAAACUAUUAUUUUUAUUAAUUGUCUAAAAUAUUUACUUACUUCAUAUCUCUGCACUUGGUACUCUUCAAAGGUGGUCACAUACUGUGAAUAAGUAUUAGUCAACCCAGCUAUAACAACAUGAACAUUGCCAUUGAAUUCUUUAUUUCCACUUGUAAGCACUGUUCUCACAGCAUCACGAAGACGCCUCCCAGCCAUUGUUGUGAAUUCUCCUGGUACACUAAGAAUGACUAGCUGCCCCACUCUCAGGAUCUGGAUUGGAAGUAUAGAAGGCUGCAUAAUCCAUGAACAAACAAUUAGUUUUUAGAAAAACUAAGUUUUUUAAGGCCAACAUCAAAAGACAUUUGUUGGAUAAAAUUAUUGAAAAAAAAAAAAAAUACCAGUUAUCAAAUACUAUCACUAGCAAAAUCUACCCAUCUUGAGUUUUAUAAUGAUCGAAUUUGUGAGAGCAUAAAGUAUCAUCUUGUUUAGAAACUUCAUUACUGACUACAUUCUCGUCACACAACAAAUGUAUAAACAAUAAUGCAACUCACUGCCCAAUCAUACGGUUGCUUCAUUUCACCAGUAUCAAGUAAGAUGGGUUUUGGAUGCUGACAAUCAAUUUGUUCCUUAUUUGGUGUUUUCAGGAAGUUACGGACCAGCCUCCAGAAGGUAUUUCCCUUGUCAUCUCCUUGCUUAAAAUCAAAAGCUCCAGGUCCAUCUGUUGUUCCUGCAGCAAAUGCAAAGCCCAUUGCAGCAGGACAAGUAUUUACUACCUCAAAACCUCCCCCUUGUUUAGGAAGUGUCACUUCAAGCUGGGAGAAGUCUAGGAAGGUGUGACGAUAAUCAACCUUUCCAUUUACUUGCUCAGAUGCUUUGUUGAAAAGUUCCACAGCUUUUUGGAAUUGCCUCUCCCCAAUAAUCCGUGUACUUUCAAACUCAUCAGGAUAACCAGGUCCUCGGCCAUAGCACAACUCAUUCUUUCCACCACAGGUACUGUGGUUGAAGUCACAAGGUAGCCCAGUGUCUAUACAGAAGGCUCCAAGCACAUUAGGGCUAACAUCACCACAGUUAGUUUGACAAAAUGCAGAUACAAAUCCAGGUUUCUCAGCCUGCCUAAGAGUACUUCUGACACGCCUUGCAACACUAAGAAUCUUGGCUGCUGGUCUACCAGGAGAAGACUGGAAGGAUGCAGCAAGCUCCAGGAGCUCAUGGCCAUUACUAGGCAGGCGUGGAAUUAUGUUUGAGACUCUUCGAGGAAUUCCAUCAGCUACACUUUCAUCAGAAUAUGAGCCGCCAACACCAUUCUUUUCAAACCAGUCCUCCAUAAAUCGUGCAGCAGCACCCUUGUUAUCCCCACUUAUCAAAGAGUUUGUACGACUCAUUGAAGUUCCAUGAGUAGCAAACCAAUUGAAGCUACCAACUGGACCCCACUCAUUAUCAACAAAUUUCAGAAGAGUCAUGUCUUUGUCAACAUCGUACAUGUAUUUGUUACGCUCUUCUGCAGGAUUAUUAAGAUAUGCACUAGGACUGCGAUUAACACCAGCAUCUAACAGCUCUCCCUUAUUCACAAAAAUUGAUCCUGGCCGGAGAUUUUCAUGAGCUUGUACUAUGCUCUUCUCAAUGCCAUCUACAAUAACAUCAAAAGAUUGACGCACAAAUCCAAGUGAUGUUAUAAUAUACACAACGUAUUGGAGGUAGCCCCCAGGACCAGCAUGGGUAUGAAUACCACUGAUAGCAACAUUCUUUUCAGUAUAGAGAUCCCCAUACCUCGCCUUCAAUCGCUCAAUCACUUUAAUUUUCACAAGCUGUGAGGCCAUGCAAGCAUCCAAAUUGACGAAUACUACCCGGCUCGCCUGUGGCUCCGCCACAAUAAAAGUCCGAGCCCGCAACCUAAAGUGAAUCCCAGAAGCAAUCUGCUCAGUGUUCGCAUAACCCAUCAUAUUAACAUCAGCAGCAGGUCCUGUAAUAUCAUAGCUCCCAAGCCCAAUCAGAUAUUCGGAAUCCGAGAAUACUAUUCCACUAUUCACCAGCAAGAGCACUAGAGAAACCCA